GAUGAACGCUGGCGGCGUGCUUAACACAUGCAAGUCGAACGGAAGGACCCUGCUUUUGUGGGCUGAUCGAGUGGCGAACGGGGGAGUAACACGUGAGUAACCUGACCUAGUCUUUGGGAUAAGUUCAGGAAGCUGGGGCUACUAUCGUAUAGCAUCUCCUGUUGCAUGGUGGGGGUUGGAUAGUCUCGGCGUUUGGGGAUGGACUGGCGGCUUUUCAGCUUGUUGGUGGGGUAGUGGCUUACCAAGGCGAUGAGCGGUAGCUGGCCUGAGAGGGUGAUCGGCCACACUGGAAGUGAGACGCGGUCCAGACUCCUACGGGAGGCAGCAGUGGGGAAUAUGGGACAAUGGGCGCAAGCCUGACCCAGCCAUACCGCGUGGGUGAAGAAGGCCUUCGGGUUGUAAAGCCCUUUUGUUGGGAAAGAAAAGCAGCAGGUUAAUACCCCGCUGUUCUGACGGUACCCAAAGAAUAAGCACCGGCUAACUUCGUG
rnacentral:rRNA from 1 species